rnacentral:rRNA from 1 species
UACAGAGGGGGCAAGCGUUGUUCGGAAUUACUGGGCGUAAAGGGCGCGUAGGCGGCCUUCUAAGUCGAACGUGAAAUCCCCGGGCUCAACCCGGGAACUGCGUCCGAUACUGGAAGGCUUGAAUUCGGGAGAGGGAUGCGGAAUUCCAGGUGUAGCGGUGAAAUGCGUAGAUAUCUGGAGGAACACCGGUGGCGAAGGCGGCAUCCUGGACCGGCAUUGACGCUGAGGCGCGAAAGCCAGGGGAGCGAACAGG